CCCAUUGAUUGACGGUGCUUGCAUCUGAUUGAUUUUGGUUGCCAACGAGUGGCGGACGGGUGAGUAACACGUAGGUAACCUGCCCAGAAGUGGGGGACAACAUUUGGAAACAGAUGCUAAUACCGCAUAACAGCGUUGUUCGCAUGAACAACGCUUAAAAGAUGGCUUCUCGCUAUCACUUCUGGAUGGACCUGCGGUGCAUUAGCUUGUUGGUGGGGUAACGGCCUACCAAGGCGAUGAUGCAUAGCCGAGUUGAGAGACUGAUCGGCCACAAUGGGACUGAGACACGGCCCAUACUCCUACGGGAGGCAGCAGUAGGGAAUCUUCCACAAUGGGCGCAAGCCUGAUGGAGCAACACCGCGUGAGUGAAGAAGGGUUUCGGCUCGUAAAGCUCUGUUGUUAAAGAAGAACACGUAUGAGAGUAACUGUUCAUACGUUGACGGUAUUUAACCAGAAAGUCACGGCUAACUACGUGCCAGCAGCCGCGGUAAUACGUAGGUGGCAAGCGUUAUCCGGAUUUAUUGGGCGUAAAGAGAGUGCAGGCGGUUUUCUAAGUCUGAUGUGAAAGCCUUCGGCUUAACCGGAGAAGUGCAUCGGAAACUGGAUAACUUGAGUGCAGAAGAGGGUAGUGGAACUCCAUGUGUAGCGGUGGAAUGCGUAGAUAUAUGGAAGAACACCAGUGGCGAAGGCGGCUACCUGGUCUGCAACUGACGCUGAGACUCGAAAGCAUGGGUAGCGAACAGGAUUAGAUACCCUGGUAGUCCAUGCCGUAAACGAUGAGUGCUAGGUGUUGGAGGGUUUCCGCCCCUCAGUGCCGGAGCUAACGCAUUAAGCACUC
rnacentral:rRNA from 1 species